UUUUAGUGUCCUCUUUCGAUUUUGCGUUAUGAUCAGAUGAUGAAGAAAAAGUUUUUGGUGUGACCGUGUUUAUAGUUUUAAAGGAAUGCGAUUUACACUAAACAGAACUUUUUUAUUUGAAAGGAGCUAAAGGAAUAAAAAAAUGAGAAUUUGGUAUUUCCUGAUAUUACUGUUCUGUUUUAUUUCUAUUUUGAAUGCUCGUGUUCGAACAAAAUGUGAGAAAGAACGAAGAAAAGCUAUGUAUCGAACCGUGCUUAUCUAAAUUGAAAAUCUUUAAGAGUUCAAUUGCUUUGAAGGAAACAACUUGCAGUAAUUAUGGAUGGUAUGGACGUAAUUCCGCCAAGCUGCAACGAAGACGGAAGUUUUCGAAAAAGGCAGUGCACAGGUCCUUUCGGCACUUGUUUUUGCGCUGAUGAAGAUGGAAAACAAAAUGAAAAAAUAUACCCGAAUUGUUAAUUUCUUGUCAGAAGCUUGAAACAAACGAGCAAGCAAACAUUAAUAAUAAUUAUAGCUAUAAUCAUGUUAAAACUGUGCUCAAUUUGUGAAUCAAAAAGAAACUACAAUAACUACUUAAAACCGAAAUAAAUAACGGCACACUGUAAAAAGUUUAAUUUAUCACGUAGUAUAUACACUACAGGAAAAAUUGUUUGUCUUAAACAGUCUUAGUUUUCGGAGCAAAAGAAAACAAAUCUCAGUGUAAAUUGUUGUAUAUGUCAGGUUCAAUUGUAUAUUGCUUAAAAAAGUAAAAAAUAAAUAAAUAAACGAAUA